AGAAAUUUCCAGGGCUUACUCUGGCAGACGAGCGAGCUUGCCUAGAUGCAGUUGGUGCUUGCCCAGAUGAAGCUAAGCAGGUGCGAGCGUCGUGGGGUGAGUAACACGUGUUUAACCUGCUCAUGAGACUGGGAUAACACCUGGAAACAGAUGCUUGACCGGAUAACAACACCCGACGCAUGUGGAGGGUUUAAAAGAUGGUUCUGCUAUGCUCUUGGAUGGACCUGCCGUGCAUUAUCUAGUUGGUAAGGUAACGGCUUACCAAGGCAAUGAUGAAUAACCGAUUUGAGAGACUGAUCGGCCACAUUGGGACUGAGACACGGCCCUAACCCAUACGGGAGGCAGCAGGGGGAAUCUUCCCCUAUGCACGCAAGUCUGAUGGAGCAUCCCCGCGUGAGUGAAGAAUGGUUUCGGCUCGUAAAGCCCUGUUGGUAUUGAACAAAGAUCUAGGUAGUAACUGCCCUUUAUUUGACGUUCAUUACUUAGAAAGUCCGUCUAACUACGUGCCGCGGCCGCGGUCUACAUAAGUGGUAAGCUUUGUCCGGAUUCUUGGGCGUAAAGCGAGUGCAUGCUGUUCAUAUGUCUGAUGUGAAAGCCUUCGGCUCACUGGACAAUUGCAUUAACACUUUGAACUUGAGUGCACACGAUCAGAGUGAACCUCCUGUGUACCGCCGGUAUGCGUUAGAUAUAUGGCAUAACCCCAGUGGCGACAGACGGCUCUCUGGUCUGCACCUGACGCUCAAGGCUCGAAAACCUGGUAAACGAAAAGAUACUAACCCCUAGUACUCCCCGCCAAAUCCUAUGACUGCUUAUUGUCUGGGAGGUUUGCCGCCUCCCCAUUGCUACUUCUGUCGUA
rnacentral:rRNA from 1 species